rfam:Rattus norvegicus chromosome 2, whole genome shotgun sequence.
GGGGAUUUAGCUCAGAGGUAGAGCGCUUGCCUAGCAAGCACAAGGCCCUGGGUUCGAUCCCCAGCUCCG